AGAGUUUGAUCCUGGCUCAGGAUGAACGCUAGCGGCAGGCUUAACACAUGCAAGUCGAGGGGUAACAGGGAUUGCUUGCAAUCCGCUGACGACCGGCGCACGGGUGCGUAACGCGUAUGCAACCUACCUUCUACAGGGGGAUAGUCAAUAGAAAUGUUGAAUAAUACCCCAUACGAUCAUAAAUUGGCAUCAAUUUAUGAGGAAAGUUCCGGCGGUAGAAGAUGGGCAUGCGUCCUAUUAGUUAGUUGGUAAGGUAACGGCUUACCAAGACAUCGAUAGGUAGGGGUCCUGAGAGGGAGAUCCCCCACACUGGUACUGAGACACGGACCAGACUCCUACGGGAGGCAGCAGUGAGGAAUAUUGGACAAUGGAGGCAACUCUGAUCCAGCCAUGCCGCGUGCAGGAAGACGGCCCUAUGGGUUGUAAACUGCUUUUAUACAGGAAGAAUGGUACCUACGUGUAGGUAUUUGACGGUACUGUACGAAUAAGGAUCGGCUAACUCCGUGCCAGCAGCCGCGGUAAU
rnacentral:rRNA from 1 species